AUGCAGUUGGAAUUCUACUGCUUGUGACUGUGUCAGAGUGGAGGGAGAGCUUGUGGGACUGACUCUGUACUCCGGGUGUAAAGUGUCAUGUGGAAUUGAAUUAGAGGACCCCCAGGCUCUGGCAGUGGGGAAUAUCUAGCACAUGGAGACCUGCCCCUGUCAGCAGUGACUGUGUUAAGAAAGAAAUUUCACACUUAGAGCUACAGGCACAGCAUCCUCCUGAGAGAGCCAGGCUGUGAAAUUGAAUCAGACAGAAGAUGAUGCUCCUGAAAGUCUCAGUAAGAAGUGAGCAGUCUAUGGCUACAUGCUGCAAUUUGUGUUUUGAAAUUGUCAUGGUUUUAUGAAUCACACAUGAUAAUGGUGUCGGUGACAGAACUCAGAGUGUCAGCUUCUAAUACU